rnacentral:rRNA from 1 species
UACGUAGGGGGCAAGCGUUGUCCGGAAUCAUUGGGCGUAAAGCGCGUGUAGGCGGUUCGGUAAGUCUGCUGUGAAAGUCCAGGGCUCAACCCUGGGAUGCCGGUGGAUACUGUCGAACUAGAGUACGGAAGAGGCGAGUGGAAUUCCCGGUGUAGAGGUGAAAUGCGCAGAUAUCGGGAGGAACACCAAUUGCGAAGGCAGCUCGCUAGGACGUCACUGACGCUGAGACGCGAAAGCGUGGGGAGCAAACAGG